AUUGAACGCUGGCGGCAUGCCUUACACAUGCAAGUCGAACGGCAGCGGGCCUUCGGGUGCCGGCGAGUGGCGAACGGGUGAGUAAUGCAUCGGAACGUGCCAUUGAGUGGGGGAUAACGUAGCGAAAGUUACGCUAAUACCGCAUAUUCUGUGAGCAGGAAAGCAGGGGGACCGCAAGGCCUUGCGCUCUUUGAGCGGCCGAUGUCAGAUUAGCUAGUUGGUGAGGUAAAGGCUUACCAAGGCGACGAUCUGUAGCGGGUCUGAGAGGAUGAUCCGCCACACUGGAACUGAGACACGGUCCAGACUCCUACGGGAGACAGCAGUGGGGAAUUUUGGACAAUGGGCGCAAGCCUGAUCCAGCCAUGCCGCGUGAGUGAAGAAGGCC
rnacentral:rRNA from 1 species